rnacentral:tRNA from 1 species
GCUUCUAAUGGAUAACAGCUCAUCCGGUUGGUCUUAGAGCCUGAAACUUU